rnacentral:rRNA from 1 species
UGGGGAAUAUUGCACAAUGGGCGCAAGCCUGAUGCAGCCAUGCCGCGUGUAUGAAGAAGGCCUUCGGGUUGUAAAGUACUUUCAGCGGGGAGGAAGGGAGUAAAGUUAAUACCUUUGCUCAUUGACGUUACCCGCAGAAGAAGCACCGGCUAACUCCGUGCCAGCAGCCGCGGUAAUACGGAGGGUGCAAGCGUUAAUCGGAAUUACUGGGCGUAAAGCGCACGAAGGCGGUUUGUUAAGUUAGAUGUGAAAUCCCCGGGCUCAACCUGGGAACUGCAUCUGAUACUGGCAAGCUUGAGUCUCGUAGAGGGGGGUAGAAUUCCAGGUGUAGCGGUGAAAUGCGUAGAGAUCUGGAGGAAUACCGGUGGCGAAGGCGG